rnacentral:lncRNA from 1 species
CUGUAAUCCCAGCACUUUGGGAGGCCGAGGCGGGCAGAUCACGAGGUCAUGAGAUCGAGACCAUCCUGGCUAAAACGGUGAAACCCCGUCUCUACUAAAAAUACAAAAAAAAUUAGCUGGGCGUAGUGGCGGGCGCCUGUAGUCCCAGCUACUCGGGAGGCUGAGGCAGGAGAACGGUGUGACCCCGGGAGGCGGAGCUUGCAGUGAGCCGAGAUAGCGCCACUGCACUCCAGCCUGGGCGACAGAGCAAGACUGUCUCAAAAAAAAAAGAACAAAAAAAAAAAUCAUAGCUGCAUGGAAUGUUAGCUGUCCAUUUUCUUUGCUGUGAACUUGGGAGCCAUGGUAAAGAGACAGCUUUGGCUUUGCAGUGGUGAGAGCUCGGUUCAAGUCUCCAGUCUGCCCCUUCAAAAGCUGUGUGACCUUGGAGAAGACAGUUUAGCUCUCUGAGCCAAGAUUCCUUACCUUAUGAGAAGGUUCCUUGGAGGGGCAAAUAUAACAAUAGAUGAA